UCAACAUUUUGGGGAAUGCACUAGCUGCACGGUACUGAAAACACAAAGAUACACCCACAUAAAUUGUGAACGGGGAGACUCUUGGGCCAUCUGGGUGAUCUUCAAUCUUGUCGGAUUUUAGCAUCGGCAUCUCCAUCAGUGCUGUUGGUAUGUCCCCUAUAAGGCUAUUAUUGGAUAAGUCUAUAUACUUAAGGAAGUUUAGGCUAUUGAUCCAGGUUGGUAUUGGUCCACUGAGUUGAUUGUUGUGUAAAAGUAGAAGUUCCAACUUUUUUAGCUUUGAGAGCCAAUUAGGUAUUUUUCCAGUCAGUGCGCAGUUAUUUAUGGCAAGAACAUGAAGAUUCUCAAAACCAUCAAUUGUUUCGUCCUCUGGCAUAGCUUCAUGUAUGAAAUUACUCCCAAUUAGCAAGGUAGUGAGGUUUCUUAAGCUCUUGAGUAUGUGAAGUGAACCUGUGAUAUUUGUAAAAUUGUUGUAGGAAAGAGAUACGAAGGUAAGGGAUUUCAAAUUUUCUAAUUUCUCCGUCAACUGACCUUGAAGCUUAUUGCGAGAUAACCUCAACCAAGUUAAAGUACCGCAUGAGUAGAUGCUAUCUGGAAUCGUGCCGGUGAAGUAAUUCGAGGAAAGGCCCAAAGCUUGCAGAUUGUGUAGGUUGGAGAAGUUAACCUUAGAAAGCUCUCCUGCCAACUUGUUAUUUUCAAGGUUGAUGGUGAUUACAUUUGUGCAAUCACCCAAGGAUGAUGGCAGCUCCCCAGAUAUGUUGUUGUUGUUCAUGUGAAACUCCUGUAGUCUCUUCAGCUUGCCUAUAGAAUCUGGUAUUGUGCCACUGAAUCUGUUCCACGCAAGAUCAAGAAAAACCAGAUUGCUGAGCUUUAUCAUGAGUACACCAUCAAUUGUUCCUUGCAAAUCAUUGUUAGGAAAAGAGAGGCACUCUAGUGAUGUGGCAUGGAAGAGAUCAUCUGGGAGGGCUCCACUGAUGUUGUUGUGACCAGCCUUGAGCACUUUAAGGGCAGUGCAUUUCCCUAUUCCAGGGGGGAUGCUGCCACUGAACUGGUUGUAGCUAACAUCAAGCAUGGCGAAGGAUGGCAAGCCGGUACAGAAAGAGGAAGCUAUCUGCCCAGUAAAACUGUUGUUGCUGGCGUUGAUUGCAACCAGGCUCCUCAUUUUCUCCCAUGUGGUGGAUGGAAAUUCUCCUGUAAACCUGUUGCUUGAGAUAUUCAGAACCUGCAGUGGCCGGUCAGAUACUGAUGAAUUCAGCUCUUGCAGGUCCCCGUCGAGGCGGUUGAAGCUGACAUCAAGGACGAUGAUGCUGCCAGAGGACAUCAGCUCCUCAGGAAGGCCACCGGAGAGCAAGUUGUAGGACAGGUUGAGCCCCGUCUUCACUGCAGGUGAUGCCUUCCCACGCGCAGCAGUCGAUGCCAUUCCGCCACGACAUGGCGAUGCCAUUGUCAUGCGAUAGCCCAGCAAGGAACCGGAGGAGAGAGCUCUUCUCCUGCUCAAGGCAUGCAAUGGUGGAGUUGGCCAUGGAGAGCAGCAGCAACAAUAAGGCAGCAGCAGCGAGACCUGAGAAAGGCAUCCCUAGCCUGCUUCUCCACAGAGAAUGUGGUGCCUCCUUCAUGAUCUCUCCCAUCACAGCAGUGUUUGGACUUAGAAUUUGGCAACUAAUAUUUGUUCGCGAAAAGUUACACUGUUCGGUGAGGAUAUAUAUACACAACUGAAUGCAUGUUUCGAACCCUGCAUGUUUGAACAGACCGCGUUCGAAGUCCCGAGGUAUGAAUUUCGUGGUUGAAUGACUAAAUAGGACAACUGAAGUACCCAUUUGCCAAACUGUUAUCUAUCACGUUGUUUUCAUUUUAUGUUUAGUACUUCAAUUUCACUUUGGCAAUUAGAGCAUGUGAUCCUAAAAUUGGCAUGGCAGGAAGGUGACUGUCCUAUGUGGUCCAAGGCAAAUAUGUUCUUUUCUUGAUAAUAUUGUAGACUUUUCUGCAUUCUUCCUGGUGUCAGUUGUUCUUUCUAGUUCUUUGUAGUUAUAUAUGGAAAUUUCAGUAAAGUUUGUGUGAACUGUUUUAUGUUGCGAACAGGGAACGCAUGCAUGAUUUCUUUC